AGCAGUCGCCACGGUAAUACGUAGGGGGCAAGCGUUAUCCGGAAUAACUGGGCGUAAAGGGUACGCAGGUGGUUUAACAAGUUAGUGGUGAAAGGCAUAGGCUCAACCAAUGUAAGCCAUUAAAACUGUUUAACUUGAGUGCAGGAGAGGAAAGUGGAAUUCCUAGUGUAGCGGUGAAAUUCGUAGAUAUUCGCAAGAACACCAGUGGCGAAGGCGGCUCACUGGCCCGAUACUGACGCUGAGGCACGAAAGCGUGGGGAGCAAACAGGAUUAGAUACCCCGGUAGUCCCUGUCUCUUAUACA
rnacentral:rRNA from 1 species